UUUUGACAGAGAAAUUGCUCUCAGCCUCUGUCCUGGGCCAUGGACUGAGUUCUUCUCUGAGGACCUUGAGGUAUGUUGUAUUUUGCACUAAAGGUAAUAUAGUGUAUAGUGUCUUUAGUGAUAAAGGCUGUAGAAUAAAGAAAUUAUUUUAGAUUGUUUUGUGGUUACAAAUCCUUAAUUUAUACAUUGUAUUGUACACACAUUUAUACCUAUGUCUAGGGUGUUCCUCGACAAGAGUUGUCUUGUAGCUGUGGAGUCUUCACACUAAUGGUAGGAACAUGCCAAGUAUUAGAAGAUGGUGGUCUGCCCUUUUGCUGGAGCUGUUCCCACCAAGAUCAUUCACGAAAAGCCAGCAAAGAAAAAAGAGGUGAAUCGGGGCUGACAAGAGACAAAACACUAUUGCAACCAGUGACACACCCCUGAACAUACAGCAG